AGUGGCGGACGGGUAAGUAACACGUGGGCAACCUGCCUGAGAGUGCAGAAUAACCCUGCGAAAGCAGAGCUAAUACUGCAUGUGGUUGUCGGAUGGCAUCAUCUGACAACUAAAGUCGCAAGACGCUCUCAGAUGGGCCCGCGGCCUAGUAGCUAGUUGGUGAGGUAACGGCCCACCAAGGCUGUGAUGGGUAGCUGGUCUGAGAGGACGGACAGCCACACUGGGACUGAGACACGGCCCAGACUCCUACGGGAGGCAGCAGUGAGGAAUUUUCCGCAAUGGGCGAAAGCCUGACGGAGCAACGCCGCGUGAGGGAUGAAGUCUCUAGGGAUGUAAACCUCUGUUGGGUGGGACGAAGAUCUGACGGUACCACCUGAGGAAGCCCCGGCUAACUACGUGCCAGCAGCCGCGGUAAUACGUAGGGGGCAAGCGUUAUCCGGAUUUACUGGGCGUAAAGAGCGCGUAGGCGGUCCCGUAAGUUGGUUGUGAAAGUUCGAGGCUCAACCUCGAAACUGCGUCCAA
rnacentral:rRNA from 1 species